CCCCCCCCCAGCCUAAGGAGCCCCUUCCCCUGUGUGGCUAGAGAACCAGUCCCCAGUGCCCAUGGGCCAGGCCCCCGCUGGCAUGCCACCUCCCCCAACCAUCCUUGGAUGCCCCCUCCCUCGGGGGGGUUGGAGGGACCAUGACUGCAGCCAGACUUCUGUCCUGCCCCCACCCCCGCCACCUCUCGUCCCACUGGGUGUUAGCCACAGCCUGUCCCUGUGAAUCCUGGGCUCUGCUGUGCCCCUGGCCUCAUGGCUGGUGUGGGCGCUGCCACCUAGGCCCGUUGCUUCUCCGCCUCUUCAUAUCAUUGCUCAUCUUCACGAACCACCUCCUUCCACGAAAACCACGCUGCAGGUCAGCCCUGUCCUCGGCACACUGGCUGCGACCUGGCUGGGUCGGCCCAAGAACCAGACGGAAGAGGCCGAGGCAGCCCCCGGAGGACCGCCGCCCUGCCCCACUGAGCCCGCCCUGCUGUUGGUCGCCUGGUACCUCAUGUCCAGCCCUGCGCUUCUCCACUUCCUCCUGGUUUGGGUUGAAGACGCCAUCCGGAAUCCUCCAUGGAAGGAGACAGCGCGACACAUGACCCAGCACCCUCCAGCAUUCAAAUCGGCAGACUAGGAUGGAAGUGCCCUUGUGAGCUGGGGGGCCCUUCAAAGGGCCAAGGAAAAAACGCGGGCCGAGGGACCAGCCUCUCAAACGGGCUUCGAGCUCCAAUGACCUUCGCUCACCCCCUUGAAAUGUCUGGAAAACAGAAUGGGCAGAUUUUCUGUCUUCAAAGUUUCCGGCUAAACCUCUUCAAGUUCUUUAUUGUUUCGGACUGAGACACUCAGCAAUGGUAAUGGGUAGUUUCUUUUGUAUUGGCCUUGAAAGGCCAAAAUAUUUUCAUAUUGCUACAGACAAAGCCGUCUAUUUAGAAAUGAACGCCAUGUCUGUCGUUUCCCACUGGGGACACUGUGUACAACGUGUGUGUGUGUCUCUGUGUACUCUAGGGUCUUGAAACAGGUUUCUCAUGGGGAUGGCCAUUCACCGGGGUCCAGGGGGAAGCGCCUGCCCUGCCAAAGGGGCCUGGGGAACCCGGCCCUAAUUGCACAUCUAUCCUGGUUGGUCUAGGACGUGCACCCCGGGAGGGUCUGGCUGCACUAAUAUGGACUCUGCCUGCAUCUGCCAUGUGUAUGUGUUAGGGACUGUGGCUUGUGCCUCCGUGGUCAGCUUGGUGGGAGGAAGCAGGAGACUCUAAGAUACUGUGGGUGUUCUGUUUCUCUUGUUGCGAGGUCAUUUCACUGGUAUCUGUUACAUGAUCCAAAUAAUGGCCCAUACAUGGAUGAAUGAAGGCACAAAGGAGUGGAUCAACUAAUAAACAGGUAGAGAAGUGAGCA
rnacentral:lncRNA from 1 species